rnacentral:lncRNA from 1 species
AAGGCCAGAAGUGACUCCUGCCGUAGCUGCGGCAGGCCUGGAGGCCGUACUGGGACCUGGCCAGAGACCCAGAAGUCCAGCUUUGAAGAAAACCUGGAGAAAGAGAGAGUCACAAAUCAUCUCCAUACUGCAGGAGAUGCAGAAAUGGCAGAAGGCAUCCCUUGGCUGUGACAGUUUCUUGAUCUUCACUUGAUUUUCAUGGUCUUGACACUUUGAGGACUACUGCUCAGGUUUACAGAUGCCAUUUAUGUCCAGAGCUACUGAGGGUGCCAACAGAUGUCGUUUUGUAAGAAAAGCUCCCCAAAAUUCUGUGCAUCGGACUCAUUUAUGCAAUCUCUGCCUACAUUGGGACCCCACUGAAGCCACGACCCCUAAGGCAGGGCUGGACUGCCUUGCAGGGGGAAACAGCCCAAGUGUCCAUCACUAGAGGAAUGCCUGAGUAUACUGAGGCCAGCCUUACUAUAGAGUCCAAGCAGCAAGUGACAAGGAUGAGGUGGCUCUACAUGUGCACGUGUAGAACUGCCCCCAAGACCUUGUGAAAUGCAAAGGAUAUUGAGUAUCACUUUAGAAUAUAUUAAACAACCUAUCAAGAUUAAUGAGCUUAUUCAGAAAAGAAAAUAAGUCCUGGUCAAUUUCAGCGUGUUUGGACCAGCAGAUUCCAGGUGAUGGAUAGGCAGCUUCAUUUUAAUAGUCUGUUGGUACAGGGUGACCUGUAGCCUUUCCAGAAGAGGUAAAAUGAAUCCUCCGGUUGUCACCCCCUCCUUCCUCGCUCCAAUUCCAUCAUUAAUCCCCGUUUGAGGAUUUGAGUGCUGCCGAGGACUGACAGACUCCAUGAGGUUCAGCUGCUGCCUGGUACAUGUGGUCACCUGCAGCUUCUUCAGCCCUACAUGUAUUUUGUGCUGUUUUAGACUGCUCUUUCUUCCAUUAAAUGAGAGAUUAGAUCUGAAUGGCCACGUGAUCUUCUGAGUCCCAUCUGUAAGAAUCUGCAUUUCCACGGAAUUGGGGGAGCAAACGUUCUCAAAACAUUCUUAAAUGCAAACCCGCAGGCACAGCAUGUGUCUGUCAACUCCAAGAGCAUUUGGAUGUUCGAAGGGAGAGGAUGUUUGACAUCUAACCCGUCGUGGAAAGAGGAGCCUCUGCUAAAUUCUGGGUGUCAUCCCUGAUGAAGGGAUCUUGCCAGCCUAGGAAGGAGGAGGCAGGAUACAGGAACUGGAGCUCCUUCACCUUGAGAGAACAGGGGUUCAUAGGAGUAUGGUGGCUGUCUAAUGACCCUGGAAGAUCCAAGAGAGCAGAUUUAUUCCGUGUGUGUCUCCAGCGCCCAGACCCAGGGGAGAGUGAGAUGCCAAAGAUUAUGAAAGAAACUGGAAGGAAAGUGAAGACUGGAACAGAGAUUUUCUCAUUCCUGCUUGAGUGUUCUUCCAAUGACUGUGUGUGUGUAGCUUUGAAAAUACAAAGUAUUGGGAAUAGGAACUGUGAUACAAACAAAGGCAGUGACAUGAAGGCAAUGGAUUCUCAGCAUUACAAGGCAAGACAGAACUUGAAGGAAGAAGGCUGGGAGGAAACCAAUGUUGAAUGAACACUGACUCUGUGCUCAGCCCUGAGCAAGCAGUGGAAUGCCCCUGGGCUGUGAGCCACGAAUUCAAAUCCCAGCUUGUAGAGCUGUUCUGGGGGUUAGAAGUUUGGGGUCCCUCGUUGCUGCACUCGUUCCAGGUUUGGGGCUGGCGCUGCCCUUCUGACCCCUCCCUAAAGUGGACACAGGAGAAGGAGCGGGGAGAAGAGACAGGCGGCCAGGAGACACCCUGUUGAGGGCUCCCUCUGCUUGCAACAGGACCUGCUGAGGUUGCAGCUGAAGUGCUGGUCUUCCCAGAGAAAACAACCCCUCAUUCUCAAAGGAUGAGAGUGAGCCCUGCGGGGCUGCAUGCUCUUGGCCAUGGGAGAUCAACUGUGGUCACAUAGAGUGUAAUCAGUGUGUAUUUAUGGAUCACUCACUACAUGCAAGACCGGGACACAGCCGGGAUUUACUGUGGGGCUGAAAGCAAGUCACUUAAAAAGGUAAAAAUUCAUGUCCUUUUAAUCUACUUUUCAGCAAGGAACAUCACGUCUGAAUGCUCGCGGCCUCUGCCUGCCCCGUGGGAUGGUGCUGGAAAUUAUACUCAUAUUUAGAUAGCAUUCUCUGCAAGUGGCUGCUGUUGUCCUUCCAUCGUCAGCACAGGCAGAUGCUGGGAGUACCCACCUUGGGGUGAGGUGGCAAGAGAGGGCCAGCUUGUAUCCGCCUCGUUGUCGUCCUUCCUUCCUGACUUGACUCUCUCCUCUGUGGCCUUCUCAGGAGUGGGAUGUGGUUGUGAGGAGAAUGUGCACUUUACCCCUCACCAGUCCAGAGAGGGGCACAUAGCCCAAACCUCUCCCCUUCCCAGAAACCUGCAAGUCCCCCUGGGUGCGCCUGUGUGAUGAGGCAGGCUCCGAGAGCCACAGGCUGGUGGGCCACUAGGAAGCAGUAAAGGAAGACAUUUUAUGAUUGUAGCUGGAGAUAAUGAAUUGAAAAGCUGGUCUCUGUUUCUGGAAAUGAUGCCAGGAGGCCCUCAAAAUAAACGCCCACCUGUCCUUCAGGUCUCAACACCUGUUCCUCCCAUCACCUGUUCCUGGGCAUGGCAUAGGCAGUUGGUAAAUGACAGAUGAAUGAAUACAUGUACAAGGAAACACAGAUCUGAAAUUUCUAGCAGCAAAGUUUGGAGCAGGAAGCUCUGGCUGGCCCUGGGCUUUUUGCUAAGGGUGUUCUGGCUUCGCGUGGCAGCACCCCUCCCCACCGGGCCUUUGCCAGGACGCUCGAUCCUCUCUUCGGGCUUCUGAGCAGUGUGAAUUGCAAACAGCCAUGCCCACUCCCCAGGCCAAGAAAACCAAGUUCAUGGCCAGGAUUGCUCACA